UACGUAGGGGGCAAGCGUUGUCCGGAUUUAUUGGGCGUAAAGAGCGUGUAGGCGGCCAUGUAGGUCCGUUGUGAAAACUCGAGGCUCAACCUCGAGAUGCCGGUGGAAACCGUAAGGCUAGAGUCCGGAAGAGGAGAGUGGAAUUCCUGGUGUAGCGGUGAAAUGCGCAGAUAUCGUAAGGAAGACCAGUGGCGAAGGCGGGUCUCUGGACAGUUCCUGACGCUGAGGCACGAAGGUCAGGGGAGCAAACGGG
rnacentral:rRNA from 1 species